AUGGGGAACCAGGAACAUGCAGAUUCCCAGAGACAAGCCAGCCUGGCUUUGGAGCAUUUUGUGCGCAUGUAUCCAGUGGUGGAAGAGCAUGUAUGCAGAGCAAUGGGCACCAGACUGUUUGAGUCUUUUAUGCACAAUGCUGAUGUCCUACAUUUGAACAUGGAUGACAUUCAAGCUGACAUUUUACGCUCAAAUAAAGUGAACAUUUCAUGUGGUGAGUCGACAAAUCUAGAGAGACAUAGCUAGGUUGUAUGUUUUUUGUCUUUAUUUGAAAGACACCAGUGCUUAAUUACAAUGUCCUUUCAUCUUCCUUUUAUUUUUCUACAGUGCUUGAGGAACAGAAUUCAGAUUCUUGAACACAAACUUUUUUUUCUUGUUGUUGAUGGUGUUUUUAUACAUAAAAUAAGUGAUUACAAAUAACAGUCUUCUAUAGCAUAUUUCUUUGGUUCAAUUUAAUAUGGAUGCACUAGAAAACUCAAGCAUUACAUUAUAAAAUAGAUUGUAAUGUCUAUGUCAUGUAAGCAUCAUAAAGUAUGCUCACUUUAGCUAAUAGCUAUAUUUAGCUAUAACUCUUGAAAGAAAUUAGAUAUUUUCGCCAAACUUGGUACACAUCUGUAUGAGCUUAUUCUGUGGUGAAAUAAAAAAAAUGCAGCGUUUGGCCAUUUGGUGGCGCUAUAAUAACAAAAACAAACUAAACAAAUGGCUAUAACUACACUUUACACAAUUAAAGUGAGUAUUACGUUUUGAAUAUUUAUAUUUUUCUUACAAAAACGCAUCGAUUCGCUACAGGAGGCCUUUGUUCACCCCCCGGAGUCGUGUGCGGCAAUUUUUUAUGGUUGGGCGCUUUUUUUUUUUUACUUCUUUUGGACUAAAGCACUGCAACACCCGCUGACUGCAGUGAUAGAAAUUAGAAUAGCCAGGACU